CUUUUCAGCAUUAGGGUCAGGACCCAGCAGAAAGGGACAGCAGGAAGGAUCAGCCUCCGGUGUGUGAACCCACAGACUCACCACCCGCAGAGAACCCCAUCCUGGACUCGGUUGUUCCUGAACAGAGGUGGGGUGCGGAUGCUACAUGUGGGGUCACGGCAUAAAGGGAGCACUUCCUUCCCCCCUCCCCCCCCGCAGAAACGCUGAAGAGGACAAGUCGGGCAGAUGUCCACGAGAGGGACCCCGGUCCACUGCCGCUGACCCACGACAGAGCCCACGACAGAGCCCACAGAGGUUGAAAUAAGGCAGAGAGAUCAAUAAAACCCUCUUGGCUGGAAAAGAGGAGCUGUUUCCAGGGCAACAAGGGAGGAUGAUAUGUUAUGGAUUUGAAGGAGACAGCAUUUGACUAAUGCAAAGAAAGAAGUGAGAGAAAACAGAGAUCAGACUCGGGGCCAAACGGAGAAUAAGAGACCGUGACUCGAGCCUCUGCCGCUUCUCUGUUGAGCGCCCCAAACCGCCCUCCCCCAGCUCCCAGCGCCCAGCUCCCCUCCCAGCCCACAGGCCUCUCAGGCUUCCGUGGCUCUUCUCCCUCCGGGGAAACUUCACUACAGAAAGAGACCAGACACACGGAAACUCUCAACUUCUUGCAGAGGCUGUGGAGUUUCAACGUGAGGUAAGAUCUCCUGCUAGAGUUUCUUCAAGGAUGGCAAUCAGUUCUCAGGAGCCGGGGUGGCAACACCCAAGACUAGGGAAGAGUGAAAUGUACGUGAAAGUCUCUGGUAGUUUUGAUCAGUGGUGAGUACAUCAUGAGAAACGCUGGGCUGGAGGAAGCACAAGCUGGAAUCAAGAUUGCUGGGAGAAAUAUCGAUAACCUCAGAUAUGCAGAUGACACCACUCUUAUGGCAGAAAGUGAAGAAGAACUAAAGAGCCUCUUGAUGAAAGUAAAAGAGGAGAGUGAAAAAGUUGGCUGAAAGUUCA
rnacentral:lncRNA from 1 species